rnacentral:rRNA from 1 species
UACAGAGGGUGCGAGCGUUGUUCGGAAUUAUUGGGCGUAAAGGGCGCGUAGGCGGUGCGGUAAGUCACCUGUGAAAUCUCCUGGCUCAACUGGGAGCUUGCAGGCGAAACUGCCGUGCUGGAGUGUGGGAGAGGUGAGUGGAAUUCCCGGUGUAGCGGUGAAAUGCGUAGAUAUCAGGAAGAACACCCGUGGCGAAGGCGGUUCUCUGGGACGGUACUGACGCUGAGACGCGAAAGCGUGGGGAGCGAACAGG